CCUACGGGUGGCAGCAGUGGGGAAUAUUGGGCAAUGGGCGCAAGCCUGACCCAGCAACGCCGCGUGAAGGAAGAAGGCUUUCGGGUUGUAAACUUCUUUUGUCAGGGACGAAGCAAGUGACGGUACCUGACGAAUAAGCCACGGCUAACUACGUGCCAGCCGCCGCGGUAAUACGUAGGCGGCAAGCGUUAUCCGGAUGUACUGGGUGUAAAGGGCGUGUAGGCGGGACUGCAAGUCAGAUGUGAAAACCACGGGCUCAACCUGUGGCCUGCAUUUGAAACUGUAGUUCUUGAGUACUGGAGAGGCAGACGGAGUUCCUAGUGUAGCGGUGAAAUGCGUAGAUAUGAGGAGGAGCACCAGUGGCGAAGGCGGUCUGCUGGACAGCAACUGACGCUGAGGCGCGAAAGCGUGGGGAGCAAACAGGAUUAGAUGCCCUC
rnacentral:rRNA from 1 species